rnacentral:lncRNA from 1 species
ACGACCGUCCUCACUCGUAGGCGCGCGGGGCCACGCUACCCAUAAUGCCCAAGGAACCCGUGGACUCCUCCUACCUUAGGGCCCCUCUACUUUCUUCCAGGGUCCCCCGAGCCUAAUGGAUGCCGAGACAGACGAGGGCAUGGACUACACGGGCUGCAGCCCCGGCGCGGCAUCCUCGGAGUCUUCCACCAUGGACCGCAGCUGCUCCAGCACCCCUGUGGGCAACGAAAGCACAGCCGCAGGUGAGCGCCCCAGGCCCGAGUCCCAGGCCCAGCUGAGUCGUUCUUGGGGACACAGGUUGAUAGUCAAGUGGCCCCCAAGGAGGCCAAGAUGGAUGCAGCAGACGAGCUCGUACACUGGGCACUGAGGCCUCUCUGGUCAUUCUGCCCACCUCCUUGAUGCCGUCCC